rnacentral:misc_RNA from 1 species
GAUGAAGAACGCAGCGAAAUGCGAUAAGUAGUGUGAAUUGCAGAAUUCAGUGAAUCAUCGAAUCUUUGAACGCACAUUGCGCCCCUUGGUAUUCCAUGGGGCAUGCCUGUUCGAGCGUCAUUUGUACCUUCAAGCUCUGCUUGGUGUUGGGUGUUUGUCUCGCCUCUGCGUGUAGACUCGCCUUAAAACAAUUGGCAGCCGGCGUAUUGAUUUCGGAGCGCAGUACAUCUCGCGCUUUGCACCCAUAACGACGACGUCCAAAAGUACAUUUUUACACUCUUGACCUCGGAUCAGGUAGGGAUACCCGCUGAACUUAAGCAUAUCAAUAAGCGAGGA